rnacentral:rRNA from 1 species
UACGUAGGGGGCGAGCGUUGUCCGGAUUCAUUGGGCGUAAAGAGCUCGUAGGCGGCUUGUCAAGUCGGGUGUGAAACCUCCAGGCUCAACCUGGAGACGCCACUCGAGACUGUCAUGGCUAGAGUCCGGUAGGGGAUCACGGAAUUCCUGGUGUAGCGGUGAAAUGCGCAGAUAUCAGGAGGAACACCGAUGGCGAAGGCAGUCGA